UGGCGGACGGGGUGAGUAAUGUCUGGGAAACUGCCCGAUGGAGGGGGAUAACUACUGGAAACGGUAGCUAAUACCGCAUAACGUCGCAAGACCAAAGAGGGGGACCUUAGGGCCUCUUGCCAUCGGAUGUGCCCAGAUGGGAUUAGCUAGUAGGUGGGGUAAUGGCUCACCUAGGCGACGAUCCCUAGCUGGUCUGAGAGGAUGACCAGCCACACUGGAACUGAGACACGGUCCAG
rnacentral:rRNA from 1 species